GUUCACUUUGGUGUCCCAUAUAGUUAAAUAGGAACAGUACAAGGAAGAUUAGCAUGGUCCCCUGCAUAAAGAUGACAAUUGAGUUUGGUAAGUGUUUGACACAAAA